GAUGAACGCUGGCGGCGUGCCUAAUACAUGCAAGUCGAGCGAACAGACGAGGAGCUUGCUCCUCUGACGUUAGCGGCGGACGGGUGAGUAACACGUGGAUAACCUACCUAUAAGACUGGGAUAACUUCGGGAAACCGGAGCUAAUACCGGAUAAUAUAUUGAACCGCAUGGUUCAAUAGUGAAAGACGGUUUUGCUGUCACUUAUAGAUGGAUCCGCGCCGCAUUAGCUAGUUGGUAAGGUAACGGCUUACCAAGGCAACGAUGCGUAGCCGACCUGAGAGGGUGAUCGGCCACACUGGCACUGAGACACGGUCCAGACUCCUACGGGAGGCCGCAGUAGGGAAUCUUCCGCAAUGGGCGAAAGCCUGACGGAGCGACGCCGCGUGAGUGAUGAAGGUCUUCGGAUCGUAGAACUCUGUUAUUAGGGAAGAUCAAAUGUGUAAGUAACUAUGCACGUCUUGACGGUACCUAAUCAGAAAGCCACGGCUAACUACGUG
rnacentral:rRNA from 1 species